ACUCCCAGCUCAGGACACGGGAGACUCUGCUCUUCUGCUGGAAGGACCCUUCCUCAGAUGUCCACGUGCUCCUUCAAGGCCUAAGCUUUUGAAUGCUGGGUCCUCUCAGUGAAACCCUCCACAGCUGCCUUUAUGCAAAGCCUCUGGUUCUGCUGAGCCUCCACACCCAUGUCCGAUGCUCCUAUGCUGUCAGCUGCCUCCCACGUGCGGAACCUCUAAUUCACUGCAUUGAGGGUCUGACCUCUGACAUAGAAGAGCAGUCCGGCAGAGGUGUGUAGUCCUGGAAGGCAUGAACUCCUUAUGUAGCCCAGGAUGGCCUCAGACUCAUGGAUGACCCUCUUGUCCACCAUCCUGGCCAUAUGCCACUACAGUUAGCUCGCUGAGAAUCUUUAUUUCAGUGCUGUGCUGCAAAAAUCAGACAAAGACAUCACAGGGAGCAUGCUGAUAAAACCGACCUGUGGCUGCAUAUACGGGUUGAGACAAUUGCAGGGUCUCACUACACAGUCCAGAGCGGCCUUCAUCAUCCUGCCUCAACCUCUCAAUUGCUGGGAUAAUGGGCCUCUUCUACCCAGACAGUUACCAGCAUUCUUAAAAUUUAGCCACUGGAUCUAAUA